UACGGAGGGUGCAAGCGUUGUCCGGAUUUAUUGGGUUUAAAGGGUGCGUAGGUGGUUUUUUAAGUCUGGUUUGAAAGCUGGUCGCUUAACGAUCAGAUGUGGCUGGAAACUGGAAGACUUGAAUGGGUUGGCGGCUGCCGGAACGGGUCAUGUAGCGGUGAAAUGCAUAGAUAUGACCCAGAACACCGAUUGCGAAGGCAGGCAGCUACGACCCGAUUGACACUGAGGCACGAGAGCAUGGGGAGCGAACAGG
rnacentral:rRNA from 1 species